UUGCAAGCAACAGAGUGAUAGAGGAACUCCUGCUCGUGUCAGUAAUUAUCAAAAGUCAGAAUCUCAUGCACAGAAAUGGUGCCCUUCCAGCAUUUAAACCGGGAACAGUUAGUGACAUAUUGAAUAAGGCCUCUCAAAUGUAUAAAUGCAUUGGUACAGCUGGGCAUGCAAACUAGCAGGAUACUAAGCAAAGCAGAUGCUGAAGAAGCUCUAUUUAGUGAACCAGAAUUAACUUGAUCUCAUUGUUUUUAUGCAUCUUCCACAGUUGAACAGAUUGAUUACACUCAAAUAUCUUCCUUUUUAAGUGAUUCCACUUAUUCCAGUUCUUUGCUGGUGCCUGUUUCUCAUUGAUUUUACCUGGUUACAGUCACUAGGGAGCUAGAUGCUUCAUGGUCACCAGCUCUGUAAUAAAGAUGAGGGAAUUACAUCUCACACUGGCAGACUUUUAUGGUCCUGAACUACUGCACUGUAGGACAUCACCAGAUUUUCAUACUUCUAAGUCCAGCUUCAUGUGCUUGGGCACAACAGUUCAUCAUGACUCAGUAGCAUACAAGAGCAUGGACUGAGCUAAGGACUGUUGUAACCUCUGUAACCUUGAAUCACAGCACAGCUUUGCUCUAUCUGCAUGAUAUGAUUUCUAAUCUUAGGAACAAAGCCAGCCAUGCAGAAGUCCUGAAGACAAAGAGCUGGAUCAGCAGGGAAUUGGGAAAAUGGAUGGAAGGGCAGAUGAAGAUGAACUGAAUACUAAUGCUAGCAGUUACAACAGUUCUGAGAGGCUGCUGUACCUGCACCCCCAGCUCUCAUUAUUUAAUAGGUCUGGAAACCCCCUGUUUCAAUCUGCCAUUCUGGAUUAUUUCUCACCAAAAUACAGACAACUGCAUUGACAUACCUGUGCUUAAACCUUUUAUGUCUCACUGGCACCUGCAUUCAGAGAUAUUUCAGCACUGAAUUCAGCACUCUUGCCUUAGUGUCUGUCUCCUAGAAAAGACAAGACCACAGCAUAUCAGGAGAGAUGACAGUUAUUAUCAGCCUGUUGUAUACAGUGCCAGGGCUGACAUGAAGAUUAUUCUGGCCUUGGGGAGCAAAGGGAGGUGAGGUAUUUUGAAAGAGAGCUACAAGAAUGAAGAUAAAAGUCACAUAAAGUUUUCCUAUCUCCUUCUGGCUUUGUUCCUCUGUAUUUCCACUCAGCUGAAAUGUUGUAACUAUGUGCUAGGCUUGGCAAAACGACAGGAGCAAGAAGAAAGUAAGAAUAUGCUCAAGGAAAGAGAAGUUCAAAACUCCCCUCUGAACUCGUAGAGGUGAGAGAAAGGCAACUGGCACCAGGGUAAUGUUUCCUUGUAACACAAUGCCAUCUGCUGGGACUUGCUAUAGCAGCUGAGGCAGUGCAAAUGAACUUGGGAUAAACAAGUCCAAUAAGGCUAGAAAACGCAUGCUGCCAUGUCAACACAGACUGAAUGUGAUCACAUUUGUAGUUAGCAACAAGGGAAAAUUCUUAUAAUCUAGUUUAGAAUUGUCUUUGAAGACUCUGGAAACUGUUAAAAGCAGAUGUCACAGCUGUCUUGAUUAUAGUGAGAAGGAAGAAAAGGAGCUCUCCUGAGAAGUCUGAUAGUUUGCCACAAAGAAGUUGGUACUAAGCUGAGUCCAAAGUUCCCACAGGCGAUGACAAGUGUAAACCUGGACUGAGUUACUGAAGAAGUAGGAGACAGUAAGAGGACAAGUUAGAUGAGGAGAGUAGCCCUCUGAUCUUUAGAAAGAUACAGCUGUCAUUUCCAGAAGCAUCCUGAUUUUCUGUCAAGUUUCAAGAAAAACACUGAAUAUUGAAUACUGAAUUUGUCAUUUGAGGAAAUACAAAUAAGGAGUGCUUGUGUAGUAAUUUAAGAGAUUGUUUUGACGUAAUUGAAUAUUGAGCACAUCCACUUGAAAAUAUUAGUUAGCAAGUCAGUCAAUAAAACGUUGGUCCACACACUCCCAUUUGAAAAGCUUCUCAUUUUAUGUUUUAUAUACUCUCUUGCUUAAACAACGCUACAUAUAUUGGUGCUUGCCUUUAAUCUUUAACAGAAGGAUUCCUUCCACAUUAAAUUCCCCAUUAAUUCCCUCAAAGUUACAUUUGAAAAUAAUUCUCUCACUUAUAAAAUUUAAAUAGUUAUCACUUUUGGGGGGAAUUCCUUUCCUCAUCUGAGUGUGAUUAAUUUGUAAAGUUUGAUUGCCUGAUACUUGUGCUUAGUUUUCACGAUUUUAUUAGUUCAAAAGUUCAGAAUGGUGUCUGUCUGUCGACUAUAUUUUUACAUUGAGAGAACAUAUGCAAAGGCCGCAUGUGAUGUGCAAUUUGCAGGCAUGUGCUGUGUUGUAAAUCCUUGCUUAUAUUCCUUUUGGAAUUUGUAAUGUACGAGGAAGAGCCCUGUUUCAAAUACUGCUUUACUACUUAGUACCUGCUACAUAGAAAUCGAUGGGCUUUUAUUCAUGCUUCUUUUAUUCUGUUAAGCAUAGGCUAGUAGUUGUUAAAGAUUCCCUCCUCAGUCUGAAAACAGUCAUGGGAGUUCACUCAUAUAAAAGAUGAGCAAGGCAGAUGCAUAAGAAAUAGAGGAUUUUGCAGGGAAAGGAACAAAAUAAGAAUACAGCCCAGAGCUUUUAGGCCAGCACCCAGUCCAUUAACUCAGGCUGAUCCAAGUUGGUUUGUCUCUAGCUCUUUUUGCCCCUUCCUCUCUAUCCUUACUACAUUUUAUGCUGCUGCAGGAGGGAUGAAUAUCACUAUGUGAGAUGCAAUGCCCACAAUGUGCUCACACAACACCAUUGCAAUACCUGUAAUUAGUAUUGUUCACGUUUGUGGCCAUGCAACAUAAAAGAACACAAAAUAAUCCUCUGGAAUGCUGCAGUUGCCAGCCAUUUUAUUAUAUUUUAUGUUCUCAAAGGGGAAAUGAUCAUGUUCAUUUAAAAGGAUUUAAAAGAAUUGUUGAGUCUUCCUGUAAAAUUGCAGUGUAGAAUUUGUUGUGAACAAAACAGAGCUGACUCCAUUAUUAUAGCAGAAUAAUUUGCAGCCAGAAUUCAAUUAUGGUCUUAAAAUCUGAUUUUAAUUCAGAAAUAGGCUGCAGUAGCUUCAUUUUUGUCCUGCAUGUUUUUUGAAUUUUAGGAAAAACCUAACUUUAGCAUAUUAAUGCAGUUGUAUCAUAUGAAUAUGGAAUAUAAAUGUGUUUUCAUGAAAGCCCAAUUUAAGUUAUGUGUUGAACCAUUCAGUACAGCUGGAUUCUUCAUUCAGAGUCUCUGUAAAUUCGUGAUCACAAGACAACUUAAACACACAAUUCUCACAGAUUUUUUCUUUGAAGCCCUUGCAGAACCAAUCUAAACAGGAGGUGCAACAGAAAGCUCCACUUCGUUAUAAGACUGGAGUUUAUCUAUUGACUUCAGCAUACACAGAGCGUAAAGCACAUGAGUUCUUUUUUUCUUGUCUAAACUAUUUUGAAUGAGGUCUCUUUUACAUGCUAGUUUGGCAAGCUUCUAAGGCAUUUGUGCAAAGUGAUGAUGCAAGAGCAACCUGAUUCAAUACUGAGAAAUUCAUAAAUAACAUCCAGCAGUAAUUAAAGUGAAAAACUACAGCUAAGAAAAGCAAUUAUCCUACAGAAUCAGUUAAGCUACUAUACCCUGCAGUGUUAAAAGUGGAGUAUGUUUACUGGUGCCUUGAACUCAGGAGGUAUCAUUGUGAAUUUCAAACAUACCAACAAUUCAUUCUGGGUUUUUUACAUAGAUUGCAUUGGAAUAAC